rnacentral:lncRNA from 1 species
AGUUCUUCUGGCCUUCCCAAUGUUCUCGCAACAUUACAGUGACGUUGUUGCAACGUGAUAUCAUGCGCUGGCUGUGGACUGCUUGAUAACCACUUCCGCUUUUUUUCCUCGCAGGUCAAUAUUUGCGUUUACCUAGAAAGACAGUAAAGACAUUGUAGAAAGGUUUUUGUUGGUUAAAACUCACGUUUAGGAGAUCGACAGGUUGAGAUAUUUAUGGAGCAUAAUAAUGGAGAUACUUCUAGCUGGUCGAUGCAGCGACGAAUGGAAGGUUUGGUCAACAAACACAUGGCAGACAUAGCACUAGAAACACUCCAACAGAGACUAUCAGCUGUGUCCGACGAAAUGAACCAUCUUGCGGAACAUGUCUCGAGACGCUCGGAGGAUGUUCCCAAGUAUGAUAUUCCAAGACGCACAGAUGUAAACUUUGACGUUGAGUCACUGAGUGCAACAUUUAGCACGGGUGGUGUUGGGGAAAAGUUGGCGAUCCCAGGCACCUCAUCAUCAGCAGAGACGGCUGCCCAGCGUAAAAUCAUCUCCCUGCUGGUGGAGAUUAAGGAGGAGCAGCAGAGACAGUGGGGCGUUUUGAGGCAGAUGCAGGCCAGGGUUCAGGGCCAGAGCUUUCCGGUGGUAGAGGAAGAGGUGGAGGCUCUAGACAUUGACAUCCCACUGAGGACCAUGGAGCAGCUAGAUGACACAGAGAGGCACCUGGAGGAUGCAGGAGCACAGAAGAGAAUGGUGUCUCACCUGUCACGAAUGGGUGGGGCCACGUUUGAUGAUGCGGUGCGAAGGCUCAUGCAGGCAGUGCUAUCUUUUGCUGUGGGCUCUGAGCUCAACUGGGUGGGCCGAGGCCAGAAAAGGAGCUUCAGAAACACCCGCCUCCAAGGGGUUCUCUUUUGUGCUCUGAAAAGAACCCCAGUGGGCAAAGAGGCCACACAUCACCAGUUUGCAGACGUGGUGAAGAAGUGGCUGCGGUUCGCCCCGUUCAGACAGGGAGGGAGUGGUCGACGGCAUUAUAAACCACCUGGUGACUUCCUGUGUCCAAAGGAAUGUGUAGGUCUGCCUACACAUCAGCCUACACAUCCACAGUAACUCACAAUCAGCUUACUAAAUAUAUUAUAUUGUUUAACAUUUUAGUAUUAUUUCCUAAGUUUGUUACAUUGCAAAAAAUAAAUGCUAUUUGAAUGUGAAUACAUGCUGUUUGGCCCAUGUUACUUCAUACAGGGCCAAACCUGUGAUCUGCUCAAGUAACUUGGACCCCUACAUAAAUCAUGCAAUGAUUUUGACACCCCUGAUGUAAAUUGAAGAUGUAUCCUCAAAGUCCAGUUUCUCACACAGUUCUCAAAAUGAUGCCCACAAUGUAUAGUCUCCAAUAGAGACACAUCCCAUGACGCUCCUCACAUCACAGAUCUGUCAGGUGUGGUUGGAUGUUUAUCCCAGAGUAAUUCAAACCAAAUACUGCUGCAAAACCUGUUGAUAAAAGUUGUUUAUUGCAGUUAAUGCUUUGAACGUACUGAUUAGAAAGCUUUCCGGCAGAUUUUUUUUACCCCACUAAUGAGAUUAUGGCUAAAUAUACACUACCAUUCAAAAGUUUGGGGUCACAUAGAAAUGUCCUUGUUUUUGAAAAAGCACCUUUUUUGUCCAUUUAAAAUAACAUCAAAUUGAUCAGAAAUACUGUGUAGACAUUGUUAAUGUUGUAAAUGACUAUUGUAGCUGGAAACGGCUGAUUUUGAAUGGAAUAUCAACAUAGGCGUACAGAGGCCCAUUAUCAGCACUUCAGCAGGCCCAUUAUCAGCACUCCUGUGUUCCAAUGGCACAAUAUGUUAGCUAAUCCAAGUUUAGCAUUUUAAAAGGCUAAUUGAUCAUUAGAAAACCCUUUUGCAAUUAUGUUAGCACAGCUGAAAACUGUUGGGUUGAUUUAAAGAAGCAAUAAAACUGGCCUUCUUUAGACUAGUUGAGUAUCUGGAGCAUCAGCAUUUGUGGGUUCGAUUACAGGGUCGAAAUGGCCAGAAACAAAUGUUUUUCUUCUGAAACUUGUCAGUCUAUUCAUGUUCUGAGAAAUGAAGGCUAUUCCAUGUGAGAAAUUGGCAAGAAACUGAAGAUCUCGUACAACGCUGUGUACUACUCCCUUCACAGAACAGCGCAAACUGGCUCUAACCAUAAGAGGAGUGGGAGGCCCUGGUGCACAACUGAGCAAGAGGACAAGUACAUUAGUGUCUAGUUUGAGAAACAGACACCUCACAAGUCCUCAACUGGCAGCUUCAUUAAAUAGUACCCACAAAACACCAGUCUCAACGUCAACAGUGAAGAGGCGACUCCAGGACGCUGGCCUUCUAAACAGAGUUGCAAAGAAAAAGUAGAUAUUCUAUUAAAAAUCAGCAGUUUCCAGCUACAAUAGUCAUUUACAACAUUAACUAUGUCUCCACUGUAUUUCUGAUCAAUUUGGCUGUUAAUAUAGGCCAUGAACAUUGCAGUUUGUAGUAGGUCUGAUGUUUUCAUACUUACGAGGACGCAGGCUUCCGUGUCAUUCAGAUGACAUCUUUCUGCACAUUGUUUUUCCUAUAUAUAACUAUGAGUGAGUGAAUGUUGAAGACACGAAAGCAAUUUACUAUAUGUUAAAAAGUAAUGUCCAUAUAAGCUUAUUUCUUGUGACAACCAUCAUACAUUGUAAAU